rnacentral:rRNA from 1 species
UACGUACCGUCCAAACGUUAUUCGGAAUUACUGGGCUUAAAGAGUUCGUAGGCGGCCCAGAAAGUUGGGUGUGAAAUCCCUCGGCUCAACCGAGGAAUUGCGCUCAAAACUACUGGGCUAGAGGGAGAUAGAGGUGAGCGGAACUGAUGGUGGAGCGGUGAAAUGCGUUGAUAUCAUCAGGAACACCGGAGGCGAAGGCGGCUCACUGGGUCUUUCCUGACGCUGAGGAACGAAAGCUAGGGGAGCGAACGGG